GACGUAGGGCGCGAGCGUUGUCCGGAUUUAUUGGGCGUAAAGAGCUCGUAGGCGGCUUGUCGCGUCGGCUGUGAAAACCCGCGGCUCAACUGUGGGCGGGCAGCUGAUACGGGCAGGCUGGAGUUCGGUAGGGGAGACUGGAAUUCUGGUGUAGCGGUGAAAUGCGCAGAUAUCAGGAGGAACACCGGUGGCGAAGGCGGGUCUCUGGGCCGAUACUGACGCUGAGGAGCGAAAGCGUGGGGAGCGAACAGG
rnacentral:rRNA from 1 species